UUCAGUGUGUUUCACAUUUUCGUACAGAACACAACGCAAAAAUGUUUGAAAAAGUGUAAAAUAUUAACAAAUGUAAUCAAAUUUUAGAGUUUCGAUACAAAAGGACUUAGUAACAGUUGUUAUGUUUGCAUAAAAAUUAUACUUUUUCUCGAUCUCUCCGCCGUGGCUAGGAUAGGUCUAGGCUAGGUUAGGUCGCUUGAUAAGGGUCAACCAUGAGGCAAAAGACACAUUAUGGAGAGUGAAUGCCAUGUAAUACAUAUGUUCACACUGUUAAAGAUUGGGAUUCAAUUAAGUGUAUAAAAAUUAAA